AGGGCCUCGUUUAAGGACUGACCUUGGAUCUGUUUCAGGUUUCGUGUGAUAUACUCUGCAGCUGCGUUAUCUGGUUCUGAUCUGUGCAUUAUAACGUAACUUACUUAUGGAGUAUAAUGAAGCGUUUGAGCGUUUGAUAUUUUUCUUCGUAUGCUUCAUUGUCAUUGCCUAAUAAUUUUUUAAACAACCUGUAAACACGGUUAUAUAAGAAUUUUGGUCUUUAUUGCUUUGUGGAUUUGGGAAAAACUGAUAGAGCUCAAAAGAUUACACGCUACCAUCAUCUACAUUACACAACGGACUGAUGCAACUUCAGAGCUUGCCCGAAGUUAUUUCUCCAAGUUCCUGAUCCUUCAUGCUUCAGACGGCAUCGCAUUUUGCAUUUAGAGGAUGAUUUCAUAAUUAAGAAAAGUGUGGUCGUCUGCCCCAGCAGUGAUGCUACCAUUUUCAAAAGUCUUCAUUCACACUAAUUUCGUAAAAGGCUCCAUUUAAAAGCCAAUCAACAUAUUGCUGAUUUUACACCA